rnacentral:lncRNA from 1 species
GGUGCCUGGCCGAAACACGAGUCUCUUAAUUUCUCUUGUCCCUACUAAAUAUUUGCGGCGAUCAACUUCUGCCCACCCAUAUCCUAAACAUUUAAACUUCAGGUUGGGUAGCUAGAUUCAUACACUAUGCUCAUUCAAAAAUGAUGCAACCAAACUGAAUAAACAUUUGACUAACUUGGCUUGAUUUCUAGUCAUGCUACCUACGCUGAAAAAAGCAAUUUCGAAAAAUAUAACGCUUUCGCUUGUGUCAAGACUGGGAAAUGUGUAAGCUGCAAUAUUUCUAUAAUGGUAUAAAGCUAGUUUCCAAAAUCUAAAGGAAAGCAGUAGACAGUUGAACUUAAAGUACCAUCUGGCGCUACUAAUCAUGUUUGAAAUUUUUUCUUGUCAAAGGGAAGUAGCGAGAGAAUCGUAGUCAUAUUGAACAACGUUCCUUGUCUUCUUUGGAUAAACAAUAAUACUGGAUAACUUAAUGUUUUCUACUUCCGUGAAAUGAGAGGGACGAAUAAUGCACUAAUUAACCAUGUUACUCGAUAACAAUGAAAGCAGGAUUUUAACCAAAGAAACUUGAAAAUCAACAUACUUAAUUUAACGAAAGGUAAUUAUAGACACCGAUAUAUGCCCUAACAAAAUACAACCACAAAAAAUGGUAAACUAAGUGAGUUAUGUCGAAACUUCACAUAAUCACUCCCAGGGAAACGGACAGAAAGGAGAGGGUUAUUGGCUAACUCUAAGAUCAAAUCCAAUUGCUCAAAUAUUCAUCUGAUUGUUAAACAUUGUAUGAGGCAUUUCCGUGCGAGGUAACGAUAUACCAAAGCAGACCAAAUUGAGAUAAAGUUACAUCUGUAAACUUGAUUUAGCAGAGAACAGCCAAGCACAUCUAAAAUGAAACUAGUGACAGCCCCACGCUCAUUCACCAAUCUGUGUUAGGUAAGAGGAGGGAAAUAAAAGCAAAACGAGAUAUAAACAAUGCAAGACGGUACAUGCUUAGCCAUAGAAUAAGCUGCCCAAACCAGUUAAAACUACAUUACCAUUGAUUUCUUAAGCUUCUCUACUCAUUUUUUCUUUAUACUCAAGUUAAUACCCUUAUGAAUUUGAAUCCAACAGAGAACCUCAAUACCUGGUGAAAUACUUUUCAAAACUUAAAAUCUUCAUGAGGUCUGUUUCGAGCUACACUGCCAAACAUGUAUAAAGCCUACCGACGCAGGAACUUCCAUUUUUGAGUCAUACUCACGGCCAGCAGCAAAAUAAGACGUCCAAAUUCAUUUAAAACGCAAAUUUUAUCGGCUUUAUUUUAGCUAGAUUGCAAACUACAAACACUGUGCCAACAACACUGUCUAACAUUAACAAAACAUCCACACUAUAUUUUAAUUCAUACCUAGGUCCAUAAACAAGCCAAAAAAAAAUAACAAAUUCAAACGAUCAGUGGAUCACCGAAACUAAAUAUAGCGUAAUUAGGCGGGACAAAAUUCACUCCAGUAGUAUCACCAAUUGUGAAUAAAUAUGAUCUGGAACUCAGAAAUUAUUUUAUAUCACAUUUUUAUACUUUCAAACAUAUAGCCAUCAUCCCGACUAACUAAA